CGUAACAAGGUAGCUGUAGGUGAACCGGCUGCUGGAUCAUUA
rnacentral:rRNA from 1 species